rnacentral:rRNA from 1 species
GGUAGUCCACGCCGUAAACGAUGAGUGCUAAGUGUUAGAGGGUUUCCGCCCUUUAGUGCUGAAGUUAACGCAUUAAGCACUCCGCCUGGGGAGUACGGCCGCAAGGCUGAAACUCAAAGGAAUUGACGGGGGCCCGCACAAGUGGUGGAGCAUGUGGUUUAAUUCGAAGCAACGCGAAGAACCUUACCAGGUCUUGACAUCCUCUGACAACCCUAGAGAUAGGGCUUUCCCUUCGGGGACAGAGUGACAGGUGGUGCAUGGUUGUCGUCAGCUCGUGUCGUGAGAUGUUGGGUUAAGUCCCGCAACGAGCGCAACCCUUGAUCUUAGUUGCCAGCAUUCAGUUGGGCACUCUAAGGUGACUGCCGGUGACAAACCGGAGGAAGGUGGGGAUGACGUCAAAUCAUCAUGCCCCUUAUGACCUGGGCUACACACGUGCUACAAUGGAUAGUACAAAGGGUUGCAAGACCGCGAGGUGGAGCUAAUCCCAUAAAACUAUUCUCAGUUCGGAUUGUAGGCUGCAACUCGCCUACAUGAAGCCGGAAUCACUAGUAAUCGCGGAUCAGCAUGCCGCGGUGAAUACGUUCCCGGGCCUUGUACACACCGCCCGUCACACCACGAGAGUUUGUAACACCCGAAGUCGGUGGGGUAACCUUUUGGAGCCAGCCGCCUAAGGUGGGACAGAUGAUUGGGGUGAAGUCGUAACAAGGUAGCCGUAUCGGAAGGUGC